ensembl:lncRNA
AUUUAAUACCACCCACAUCAUCGUGGCCAGACACCAGUCAUUUUCUUCUCGAAUAGAUGGCUUGUGUCACAGAACUCCCUCAGGCAGGACUUGACCUUGUGGCCUUUGGCUGCUAAUGAAGGGUCUCAGCCCAGCGCUGCGUCUGAAGUCUCAGCAUCACCUCUGCCUGUCUCAUCCUCAGACAAGCCCACCGGGUUUGUUCCAGCAGCACCAUGGACAGCGCCACACUGAAGCAACUUGGCUGGCAGGAUGUCAACCAAUCACAGCUGCAGCCUCUUGACGCUCAUCAACGACAAGGACAAAAGGAGCGCUGACAUCUGUUUGUCUGAUGAGUACUAGCAGAGGACACGUGCCCAUGCCAGAUUCUCUUGUCUCUUCACAGCAAGUGACUGGACCACCAGCAAUUUCACAUCUGCAUCGCUGUUCAGCUUGACUGAAUGUACUGUAUUGUAAAGAAAUAUAGCAACC